ensembl:snoRNA
GCAUGGUGAUGGAUUUAUGGCAAGCCCUUCUCUGUGGGCCUCUCAUAGUGAAUCAUGCCAAAGUAAAUGACGGCCUCGAACCAUUGCCCAGCUUCCUUGCCUGUGGGCUGUGAGCACUGAUGAAGGCUGCACAAUA